GCACAGUGGCGGAAUGGUAGACGCGGCGAGGCAGCAGAUUUAUUCUGAGAGGCUCCGGCUAAAACAAAAGUUGGUCCAGGGUUCGAUUCCCUGGCUGUGCA
rnacentral:tRNA from 3 species